UACUCACAGGCAGUAUUUAAAGUCAGG
rnacentral:misc_RNA from 1 species